UACAGAGGCCUCGAGCGUUGUUCGGAAUUACUGGGCGUAAAGGGAAUGUAGGCUGUGACGUAAGUCAGAUGUGAAAGCCCUGGGCUUAACCCGGGAAGUGCAUUUGAUACUGCGUUGCUGGAGUGCGAGAGAGGAAAGCGGAAUUCCUGGUGUAGGGGUGAAAUCCGUAGAUAUCAGGAGGAAUACCGAUGGCGAAGGCAGCUUUCUGGCUCGUAACUGACGCUGAGAUUCGAAAGCGUGGGUAGCAAACAGG
rnacentral:rRNA from 1 species